GGGGGCGUAGCUCAGUUGGUUAGAGCGCUUGCUCGACAAGCAAGAGGUCAUUAGUUCGACUCUAACCGUCCCCACCA
rnacentral:tRNA from 1 species